rnacentral:rRNA from 1 species
UAGGGAAUCUUCCGCAAUGGGCGAAAGCCUGACGGAGCAACGCCGCGUGAGUGAUGAAGGUCUUCGGAUCGUAAAACUCUGUUAUUAGGGAAGAACAAAUGUGUAAGUAACUAUGCACGUCUUGACGGUACCUAAUCAGAAAGCCACGGCUAACUACGUGCCAGCAGCCGCGGUAAUACGUAGGUGGCAAGCGUUAUCCGGAAUUAUUGGGCGUAAAGCGCGCGUAGGCGGUUUUUUAAGUCUGAUGUGAAAGCCCACGGCUCAACCGUGGAGGGUCAUUGGAAACUGGUUGACUUGAGUGCAGAAGAGGAAAGUGGAAUUCCAUGUGUAGCGGUGAAAUGCGCAGAGAUAUGGAGGAACACCAGUGGCGAAGGCGACUUUCUGGUCUGUAACUGACGCUGAUGUGCGAAAGCGUGGGGAUCAAACAGG